UUGUGUUUCUGAAAUGAUUCUGAGAACAGGAACAUAUUUCAGAGUGAAAAUCUGUGGGAAGUGAUCUGAGUAUUUCUUUUGCUUGUCCAGAUUUUGCAUGAUCAUGUUUCUACGUCUGGAUGUGGUGGUUUCUAAUCUCAUGGAUUCAAAGAUGUCUGUUCCAGAUAUUCCUGGUGUGGUUAUGAGGUGGAUGUUUCUUCCUGACGAUACGCAUGUUCAAAACCCCUGACUUGAUGUUCAUGCCAGGACAUUCAUUGCAAUUACCCUGAUUUGACAGCAACCGUUAAAGGAAAUAAAAAUGACAGCUUUGGAGCAGUCCUGUCGUGCCGCAUGAUGGCUCUUGGCAGCAGGAGUCCUAAUCACCCUCCUGAAGAUGUCUGUUGAGAUCCCACGUCUGAAUAGCAAAGGGUGCAGCAGUUUCAAAUGGAUGUUGUGUUCUCCUCUGCCUCUUCUUCUCAUCUGGCCUACAGCGCGCAACAAAGCCACUGCACAUCUGAGAUCUCCACCCAAGAAAAGCUGUGUCACUGAGAUGAAGUUGCACAAAACACAUCUUACAGUGGCGCAGGAUUUCUUUGAGAUGAGCCCCACUACCUUUGUACAGUGUCUCUGGUUUGGUGCUCAAGGAGGUGGAGGGACCUAAUUUCACUAAAGGCUUAGGAAAAUCCUAGUCUGCUAUGAUCAGGAGCUACUGACACCCGCCGGCAGGUGAUGAAUUAGUGCAGCACAGUUGGAGCUACUCGAGGGCUGCAGAUGCGAAUCCCAGAGCUGUUACUAUUUGAGCACUGGAGGAGACAAAGUGGACAUCUGAUUGCUGUCCAUGACUCUUAAGAGGAGGAUGUGCAGAAGACAGAGCCAGACUGACCUCAGAGAUGCAUAGGCGAGAAGCAACACGCACAAAUUGCAGCAUGG